rnacentral:misc_RNA from 1 species
UGAACCUGAACCAAACUGCAGAAGGAUGGUUUCGAUUCGGUUCGAAGUCGAUUCCGGUUUUGACCGGUUUUGAUCCGAUUUUGACCAAACGGGUUCUGUUUCGAUUCCGGUUCAAAAUCGGACCGUGGCCACCCCUAAUGCAGCGUCUGACCCACUUCCUUCAAAUUUCUUUAGUUGCUUAUUUUUGUCAUUUUGAUUUGAGACAGGGCAUGGAAGCUGCUGGGCCCAUUAUUUUUUUAAAGGGCACCUUCCAUGUAUUUUAACUGUUUUGUCAUGAAGCAAUGUUCUAUCAAUAUAUAUAAAAAGUAUCUUUGUGUUGCCAUGUAGGCU